UUUCCGUAGGUGAACCUGCGGAAGGAUCAUUAUUAAACACCCUCACAUGCAUAUUACUGUUCCAAACCUCUGUUGCCGGUGCGCAUCGGGGCUAUUUUACAAACGCAGUGUAAUGAACUUCAUAUCUCUUAACAAAACAAAACUUACAACAGCGGAUCUCUUGUCUCUGGCAUCGAUGAAGAACACAGCAUAUCAUCACACCACACUUCAUAACUCCAGCCACGCAUAGUCAACUCCUAAACCAUCCUCUGCAUUACUAUUAGAAAAAGAAUUUGUAUU
rnacentral:misc_RNA from 1 species